rnacentral:lncRNA from 1 species
ACGUGUUCCGCCAGAUCGUUCCAUUGAAAAGUACAUCACUUACGUAGACGGCUUGUCACCACUGCCAAUCUGGGGCCUCCCGCGCGACCUUUCUGCCAUUGACGAAUCAGGAUUCGCUCGCAGAUACGCUAGAGCCAAGAGCUACGCCACAACGUCGUGGGUUUUGAUCAACUCGUUCGAAGAACUCGAGGGCAGUGCCACCUUCCAAGCCCUCCGAGACAUCUCUCCCAAAGCAAUCGCAGUGGGUCCUCUUUUCACCAUGGCCCCCGGCUGCAACAAGGCAAGCUUGUGGAAGGAAGACACCGAGAGUUUAUCCUGGCUCGGCAAGCAAAGUCCCGGCUCGGUUCUCUACAUUUCCUUGGGCAGCAUCGCGACCCUCAGCUUCGAUCAGUUCAAGGAGUUCUCCGAGGGACUGAGGCUUCUCCAGCGUCCGUUUAUCUGGGCCAUCCGACCCAAGUCGGUCGCCGGCAUGGAGCCCGAGUUCCUGGAGCGUUUCAAGGAGGCCGUGAGGAGCUUUGGACUGGUUGUGAGCUGGGCUCCUCAGGUGGACAUCCUCCGCCACCCUUCCACGGCUGGAUUUCUCAGUCACUGCGGCUGGAACUCCAUCCUCGAGAGCGUAGCAUCCGCGGUGCCCAUGCUUUGCUGGCCGUGCGUCGCGGAGCAGAAUCUAAACUGCAAGUUGAUAGUGGAGGACUGGAAGAUCGGUCUCAAGUUCUCGUGCGUGACCAUGCCGGAUCCUCCCGAGGUGAUGGCGAGGGACGAGUUUGUGGAGGUGGUGGAGCGAUUCAUGGGAACUGACAGUGAGCAUUUGAGGAUUAACGUGAAGAAGCUGAGCGAGGAGGCUCGUAGAGCAGUGUCUAGUGGUGGCUCCUCAUAUGAAAACCUGGAGAGAUUUGCUCAAGCAGUGAAAAUUUCCUAAACUUCAAUCCAAAGCUAAGAGAAAACUUCAAAGCAUCUACUCUAUUCAAGAAUAUACUACAGUUCUUUCUCUCUCUCUCUGAAGAUAAGCACGCGCUUUGCGCGUAUAAUGGGUUCCAAGGUCAAUGUUGUCGCAAUUCCUCUCCCAGCUCAAGGCCACAUCUCUCCACUCUUGCAUCUCUGCCAAGCUCUCACUUUCAUCCUUUGGGGGAUGCUAUCUCCAAAACACGCAACCAUGAGGGAAUGUGCUGGACUUUGUUACGUGCAAAAACCCAUGGCUAAUGUGCUAAUGUAGACUCUAAGGUGAUGCUUUAUAUCAGAAACUGAUGUGAGGAGAAGAAACUAAAGAAAAACAAAGAAAAAAUAAUAAUAAGAAAGAGAGUGUAAAGUUCUGGAGUCAAAGGGGAACCACAUGGGGAAACUUGAUAAAAGAAUUAAACACUAAAAAAUGGAAAAACAAAAAGUGAAAAAAACUAAAGAGCAAAGAACAGCUUAAAGAAAUACUAGCAAGAUUGGAAGAGCUCUAGAGGCCAGUUAGAAUGGCCAUUUGUCUCAAGUUGGUCCCUGGCAUAGAGCCCGAGUUCCUGGAGGCUUUCAAGGCUCUCCUUGCAAGUGAUCAGCUUUGGACAGGUUGUGAGCUGGGCUCCUCAACUGGAAAUCCUCCAGCAUCCUUCCACAGGCUGCGAGAGUGUAUCUUCAGCGGUGCCAAUCCUUUGCUGGCCAUGAGUUGCCAAGCAGAAUCUCAACUGCAAGCUUAUAGUGGAAGACUGGAAGAUCGAUCUUAAGUUCCCGCCCAUGAGAGAUCCUCGCAAGGUUUAGAUGUAAUGUGAAGGAGCUCAGCGAGGCUGCUCAGGGAGCAACAGUGAAAGAAGGCAGGAUCUUCAUAUGAAAGUUUGGACAAGUUUGUCAAGUUUCAUAAGGUAACUUAUAUCCAAUGCCGCAGCUGGUGGCAGGAGGAUCAUCGGGCAUGAGGGCGGGGCCAAUGCACAGACAGACCAACCACCAAGAGCACAUAAAGAUGAUACUUGAAAGUGUAUAGGUUGGUGGAAGUGUUAUUUUCCUUCCCAAAGAAAUAGAUGGCGUAAUCAAGAGGAGUAAAACAUUCCUGAAGGAGAACACUAGAUUAAAACAUUUGCAAAACGCACUGAUUCUUAAGCUCAGCCUUGGAGCGAUUUGAAGCUUAUCCAGAAAAGGUAUUGUGAGAAACGGCAGCACCUUCCAGAGCACUCACGAAGUAAGCUUGAAUUUUCUUUGUUCUUCGUCAAUGGGUUCUUCUACUGGUGCCGAGGGGCUCGCUCCUCAUGCAGCGGUUCUUCCCGUUCCAACCCAAGGCCACAUCACUCCAUUCCUCCAUCUCUCCAGAGCGCUGGCGUCGCGAGGCUUCGUCAUAACUUUCAUCAACACGGAGGCCAACCACAGGGACUUGAAGGACAUCGUUUCGCAGGAGGAGAGCUUUGGCUAUGGCGGCGGCAUUCGCUUCGAGACGGUCCCGGGCAUCCAAGCGAGCGACGUCGACUUCGCGGUCCCGGAGAAGCGGGGGAUGUUGUCCGAGGCAGUGAUGGAGAUGCAAGCUCCAGUGGAAAGCUUGCUCAUCAGGAACAUGGCCAGAGACGAUGAUCUCGUUCCUCCGGUCUCGUGCUUCAUCUCGGAUAUGUUCCCGUGGUCCGCGGAAGUAGCAAGAAGGACUGGAAUCCCAGAGGUCAAGUUCUGGACCGCCAGUGCCUCUUGCGUUUUGCUCGAUUGCUCGUUUCCGCGAAUGCUGGAGAAGGGAGACGUUCCAGUCCAAGGUAAAGCUUCUUUCUUCUUUUUUAUUUGUCCUUCACUAACGUGUUCCGCCAGAUCGUUCCAUUGAAAAGUACAUCACUUACGUAGACGGCUUGUCACCACUGCCAAUCUGGGGCCUCCCGCGCGACCUUUCUGCCAUUGACGAAUCAAGAUUCGCUCGCAGAUACGCUAGAGCCAAGAGCUACGCCACAACGUCGUGGGUUUUGGUCAACUCGUUCGAAGAACUCGAGGGCAGUGCCACCUUCCAAGCCCUCCGAGACAUCUCUCCCAAAGCAAUCGCAGUGGGUCCUCUUUUCACCAUGGUCCCCGGCUCCAACAAGGCAAGCUUGUGGAAGGAAGACACCGAGAGUUUAUCCUGGCUCGGCAAGCAAAGUCCCGGCUCGGUUCUCUACAUUUCCUUGGGCAGCAUGGCGACUCUCAGCUUCGAUCAGUUCAAGGAGUUCUCCGAGGGACUGACGCUUCUCCAGCGUCCGUUUAUCUGGGCCAUCCGACCCAAGUCGGUCGCCGGCAUGGAGCCCGAGUUCCUGGAGCGUUUCAAGGAGGCCGUGAGGAGCUUUGGACUGGUUGUGAGCUGGGCUCCUCAGGUGGACAUCCUCCGCCACCCUUCCACGGCUGGAUUUCUCAGUCACUGCGGCUGGAACUCCAUCCUCGAGAGCGUAGCAUCCGCGGUGCCCAUGCUUUGCUGGCCGUGCGUCGCGGAGCAGAAUCUAAACUGCAAGUUGAUAGUGGAGGACUGGAAGAUCGGUCUCAAGUUCUCGUGCGUGACCAUGCUGGAUCCUCCCGAGGUGAUGGCGAGGGACGAGUUUGUGGAGGUGGUGGAGCGAUUCAUGGGAACUGACAGUGAGCAUUUGAGGAUUAACGUGAAGAAGCUGAGCGAGGAGGCUCGUAGAGCAGUGUCUAGUGGUGGCUCCUCGUAUGAAAACCUGGAGAGAUUUGCUCAAGCAGUGAAAAUUUCCUAAACUUCAAUCCACGGCUAAGAGAAAACUUCAAAGCAUCUACUCUACUCAAGAAUAUACUACUCUUUCUCUCUCUCUCUGAAGAUAAGCACGCGCUUUGCGCGUAUAAUGGGUUCCAAGAUCAAUGUUGUGGCGAUUCCUUUCCCCUCUCCACUCUUGCAUCUCUGCCAAGCUCUCACUUUCAUCCUUUGGGGGAUGCUAUCUCGAAAACACGCAACCACGAGGGAAUGUGUUAGACUUUGUCAUGUGCAAGAACCCAUGGCUAAUGUGUUAAUGUAGACUCCAAGGUGAUGCCUUAUGUCAGAAACUGCUGCGAGGAAAAGAAACUAAAGAAAAACAAAGAAAAAAUAAUAAGUGUAAAGUUCUGGAGUUAAAAAGGAAUCACAUGAGGAAACUUGAUAAAAGAAUUAAACACUAAAAAAUGAAAAAACAAAGUGAAAAAAGCUGAAGAGUAAGGAACAGCUUAUAGAAAUACUAACAAGAUUGGAAGAGCUCUAGAGGCCAGUUAUAAUGGCCAUUUGUCUCAAGUUGGUCCCUGGCAUAGAGCCCGAGUUCCUGGAGGCUUUCAAGGCUCUCCUUGAAAGUGAUCAGCUUUGGAUUGGUUGUGAGCUGGGCUCCUCAACUGGAAAUCCUCCAGCAUCUUUCCACAAGCUGCGAGAGUGUAUCUUCAGCAGUGCCAAUCCUUUGCUGGCCAUGAGUUGCCAAGCAGAAUCUCAACUGCAAGCUUAUAGUGGAAGACUGGAAGAUCGAUCUUAAGUUCUCGCCCAUGAGAUAUCCUCGCAAGGUGGUGGCAGGGACGAGUUUGUGGAGGUGGUGGAGCAACUCAUGGGAGCUGCGAGUGGCAAUUCCUUUAGAUGUAAUGUGAAGGAGCUCAGCGAGGCUGCUCAGGGAGCAACAGUGAAAGAAGGCAGGAUCUUCAUAUGAAAGUUUGGACAAGUUCGUCAAGUUUCAUAAGGUAAUUUAUAUCCAAUGCCGCAGCUGGUGGCAGGACGAUCAUCGGGCAUGAGGGCGGGGCCAAUGCACAGACAGACCAACCACCAAGAGCACAUAAAGAUGAUACUUGAAAGUGUAUAGGUUGGUGGAAGUGUUAUUUUCCUUCCCAAAGAAAUAGAUGGCGUAAUCAAGAGGAGUAAAACAUUCCUGAAGGAGAACACUAGAUUAAAACCUUUGCAAAACGCACUGAUUCUUAAGCUCAGCCUUGGAGCGAUUUCAAGCUUAUCCAGAAAAGGUAUUGUGAGAAACGGCAGCACCUUCCAGAGCACUCACGAAGUAAGCUUGAAUUUUCUUUGUUCUUCGUCAAUGGGUUCUUCUACUGGUGCCGAGGGGCUCGCUCCUCACGCAGCGGUUCUUCCCAUUCCAACGCUACGCCACAUCACUCCAUUCCUCCAUCUCUCCAGAGCUCUGGCCUCGCGAGGCUUCGUCAUAACUUUCAUCAACACGGAGGGCAACCACAGGGACUUGAAGGACAUCGUUUCACAGGAGGAGAGCUUUGGCUAUGGCGGCGGCAUUCGCUUCGAGACGGUCCCGGGCAUCCAAGCGAGCGACGUCGACUUCGCGGUCCCGGAGAAGCGGGGGAUGUUGUCCGAGGCAGUGAUGGAGAUGCAGGCUCCAGUGGAAAGCUUGCUCAUCAGGAACAUGGCCAGAGACGAUGAUCUCGUUCCUCCGGUCUCGUGCUUCAUCUCGGAUAUGUUCCCGUGGUCCGCGGAAGUAGCAAGAAGGACUGGAAUCCCAGAGGUCAAGUUCUGGAUCGCCAGUGCCUCUUGCGUUUUGCUCGAUUGCUCGUUUCCGCGAAUGCUGGAGAAGGGAGACGUUCCAGUCCAAGGUAAAGCUUCUUUCUUCUUUUUUAUUUGUCCUUCUUUCGAGAAGCACUAACGUGUUCCGCCAGAUCGUUCCAUUGAAAAGUACAUCACUUACGUAGACGGCUUGUCACCACUGCCAAUCUGGGGCCUCCCGCGCGACCUUUCUGCCAUUGACGAAUCAAGAUUCGCUGGCAGAUACGCUAGAGCCAAGAGCUUCGCCACAACGUCGUGGGUUUUGGUCAACUCGUUCGAAGAACUCGAGGGCAGUGCCACCUUCCAAGCCCUCCGAGACAUCUCUCCCAAAGCAAUCGCUGUGGGUCCUCUUUUCACCAUGGCCCCCGGCUGCAACAAGGCAAGCUUGUGGAAGGAAGACACCGAGAGUUUAUCCUGGCUCGGCAAGCAAAGUCCCGGCUCGGUUCUCUACAUUUCCUUGGGCACCAUCGCGACUCUCAGCUUCGAUCAGUUCAAGGAGUUCUCCGAGGGACUGAGGCUUCUCCAGCGUCCGUUUAUCUGGGCCAUCCGACCCAAGUCGGUCGCCGGCAUGGAGCCCGAGUUCCUGGAGCGUUUCAAGGAGGCCGUGAGGAGCUUUGGACUGGUUGUGAGCCGGGCUCCUCAGGUGGACAUCCUCCGCCACCCUUCCACGGCUGGAUUUCUCAGUCACUGCGGCUGGAACUCCAUCCUCGAGAGCGUAGCAUCCGCGGUGCCCAUGCUUUGCUGGCCGUGCGUCGCGGAGCAGAAUCUAAACUGCAAGUUGAUAGUGGAGGACUGGAAGAUCGGUCUCAAGUUCUCGUGCGUGACCAUGCCGGAUCCUCCCGAGGUGAUGGCGAGGGACGAGUUUGUGGAGGUGGUGGAGCGAUUCAUGGGAACUGACAGUGAGCAUUUGAGGAUUAACGUGAAGAAGCUGAGCGAGGAGGCUCGUAGAGCAGUGUCUAGUGGUGGCUCCUCAUAUGAAAACCUGGAGAGAUUUGCUCAAGCAGUGAAAAUUUCCUAAACUUCAAUCCAAAGCUAAGAGAAAACUUCAAAGCAUCUACUCUAUUCAAGAAUAUACUACAGUUCUUUCUCUCUCUCUCUGAAGAUAAGCACGCGCUUUGCGCGUAUAAUGGGUUCCAAGGUCAAUGUUGUCGCAAUUCCUCUCCCAGCUCAAGGCCACAUCUCUCCACUCUUGCAUCUCUGCCAAGCUCUCACUUUCAUCCUUUGGGGGAUGCUAUCUCCGAAACACACAACCAUGAGGGAAUGUGCUGGACUUUGUCACGUGCAAGAACCCAUGGCCAAUGUGCUAGUGUAGACUCCAAGGUGAUGCCUUAUGUCAGAAACUGAUGCAAAAAGAAGAAACUAAAGAAAAACAAAAAAAAUAAUAAUAAGAAGAAAGAGAGUGUAAAGUUCUGGAGUCAAAAGGGAACCAUAUGAGGAAAUUUGAUAAAAGAACUAAACACUAAAAAAUGGAAAAACAAAAAGUGAAAAAAACUAAAGAGCAAGGAACAGCUUAAAGAAGAGCUCUAGAGGCCAGUUAUAAUGGCCAUUUGUCUCAAGUUGGUCCCUGGCAUAGAGCCUGAGUUCCUGGAGGCUUUCAAGGCUCUCCUUGAAAGUGAUCAGCUUUGGACUGGUUGUGAGCUGGGCUCCUCAACCGGAAAUCCUCCAGCAUCCUUCCACAGGCUGCGAGAGUGUAUCUUCAGCAGUGCCAAUCCUUUGCUGGUCAUGAGUUGCCGAGCAGAAUCUCAACUGCAAGCUUAUAGUGGAAAACUGGAAGAUCGAUCUUAAGUUCUCACCCAUGAGAGAUCCUUGCAAGGUGGUGGCAGGGAUGAGUUUGUGGAGGUGGUGGAGCAACUCAUGGGAGCUGAGAGUGGCGAUUCCUUUAGAUGUAAUGUGAAGGAGCUCAGCGAGGCUGCUCAGGGAGCAACAGUGAAAGAAGUCAAGAUCUUCAUAUGAAAGUUUGGACAAGUUUGUCAAGUUUCAUAAGGUAAUUUAUAUCCAAUGCCGCAGCUGGUGGCAGGACGAUCAUCGGGCAUGAGGGCGGGGCCAAUGCACAGACAGACCAACCACCAAGAGCACAUAAAGAUGAUACUUGAAAGUGUAUAGGUUGGUGGAAGUGUUAUUUUCCUUCCCAAAGAAAUAGAUGGCGUAAUCAAGAGGAGUAAAACAUUCCUGAAGGAGAACACUAGAUUAAAACCUUUGCAAAACGCACUGAUUCUUAAGCUCAGCCUUGGAGCGAUUUCAAGCUUAUCCAGAAAAGGUAUUGUGAGAAACGGCAGCACCUUCCAGAGCACUCACGAAGUAAGCUUGAAUUUUCUUUGUUCUUCGUCAAUGGGUUCUUCUACUGGUGCCGAGGGGCUCGCUCCUCACGCAGCGGUUCUUCCCAUUCCAACGCUACGCCACAUCACUCCAUUCCUCCAUCUCUCCAGAGCUCUGGCCUCGCGAGGCUUCGUCAUAACUUUCAUCAACACGGAGGGCAACCACAGGGACCUGAAGGACAUCGUUUCACAGGAGGAGAGCUUUGGCUAUGGCGGCGGCAUUCGCUUCGAGACGGUCCCGGGCAUCCAAGCGAGCGACGUCGACUUCGCGGUCCCGGAGAAGCGGGGGAUGUUCUCCGAGGCAGUGAUGGAGAUGCAGGCUCCAGUGGAAAGCUUGCUCAUCAGGAACAUGGCCAGAGACGAUGAUCUCGUUCCUCCGGUCUCGUGCUUCAUCUCGGAUAUGUUCCCGUGGUCCGCGGAAGUAGCAAGAAGGACUGGAAUCCCAGAGGUCAAGUUCUGGAUCGCCAGUGCCUCUUGCGUUUUGCUCGAUUGCUCGUUUCCGCGAAUGCUGGAGAAGGGAGACGUUCCAGUCCAAGGUAAAGCUUCUUUCUUCUUUUUUAUUUGUCCUUCUUUCGAGAAGCACUAACGUGUUCCGCCAGAUCGUUCCAUUGAAAAGUACAUCACUUACGUAGACGGCUUGUCACCACUGCCAAUCUGGGGCCUCCCGCGCGACCUUUCUGCCAUUGACGAAUCAAGAUUCGCUGGCAGAUACGCUAGAGCCAAGAGCUUCGCCACAACGUCGUGGGUUUUGGUCAACUCGUUCGAAGAACUCGAGGGCAGUGCCACCUUCCAAGCCCUCCGAGACAUCUCUCCCAAAGCAAUCGCUGUGGGUCCUCUUUUCACCAUGGCCCCCGGCUGCAACAAGGCAAGCUUGUGGAAGGAAGACACCGAGAGUUUAUCCUGGCUCGG